GGCACCGACAUAGAAGAUAAAAUGUUUGGUCAUGCUUUUCAAGCGAUCGUCGCAGUUCUUCUCGUUUCCUACUGUGUAGGAGAGCCCCUGAAAGGUUCGACGUGCGCUUUCGGCAGCACGCCGCAAAUAUUCCUGAACGGUGCCAUACUUGAGGCUAACGCACAAAAAUGCUACGAAGCUAUAUGCACAAACGGCGUCGUGUCAAUCAACAGCAUCAGCGCCGGCUGCGGGUGCUGUGAGUACGGCGGUCGCGUGUACGCCCCCGGCGCAGAGGUGUCGCAGAGGACCUGCAGAGCCCGGUGCGAGUCGGGUGGUUACUGGGUGUGCAUAGGGGCACCUGUAAUCAGAGCUGCUACGCCGCUGCUAGAAUUGACCGUGGGCGGCAGCGGUUGAGUUCGCCUCUUUCUGGAUACCUACACCAUCUUUUCUCACUGUGCUCGACGCAUUGAAAAUCACGGACCUCGCUAAUCAUCUGUGCAGCUAAUUAAAUUGUUUCGACCCCCGAUGAAGAUAUAAAUG